UACGGAGGGGGCUAGCGUUGUUCGGAAUUACUGGGCGUAAAGCGUAUGCAGGCGGACUUUUAAGUCGGGGGUGAAAUCCCGAGGCUCAACCUCGGAACUGCCUUCGAUACUGGAAGUCUUGAGUCCGGGAGAGGUGAGUGGAACUCCGAGUGUAGAGGUGAAAUUCGUAGAUAUUCGGAAGAAGCACCAGUGGCGAAGGC
rnacentral:rRNA from 1 species